rnacentral:rRNA from 1 species
ACACAGGUAGUCAAGAUGAGAAUUCUAAGGUGAGCGAGCGAACUCUCGUUAAGGAACUCGGCAAAAUGACCCCGUAACUUCGGGAGAAGGGGUGCUCUUUAGGGUUAACGCCCAGAAGAGCCGCAGUGAAUAGGCCCAAGCGACUGUUUAUCAAAAACACAGGUCUCUGCUAAACCGUAAGGUGAUGUAUAGGGGCUGACGCCUGCCCGGUGCUGGAAGGUUAAGAGGAGUGGUUAGCUUCUGCGAAGCUACGAAUCGAAGCCCCAGUAAACGGCGGCCGUAACUAUAACGGUCCUAAGGUAGCGAAAUUCCUUGUCGGGUAAGUUCCGACCCGCACGAAAGGCGUAACGAUUUGGGCACUGUCUCAACGAGAGACUCGGUGAAAUCAUAGUACCUGUGAAGAUGCAGGUUACCCGCGACAGGACGGAAAGACCCCGUGGAGCUUUACUGUAGCCUGAUAUUGAAAUUCGGCACAGCUUGUACAGGAUAGGUAGGAGCCUUUGAAACGUGAGCGCUAGCUUACGUGGAGGCGCUGGUGGGAUACUACCCUAGCUGUGUUGGCUUUCUAACCCGCACCACUUAUCGUGGUGGGAGACAGUGUCAGGCGGGCAGUUUGACUGGGGCGGUCGCCUCCUAAAAGGUAACGGAGGCGCUCAAAGGUUCCCUCAGAAUGGUUGGAAAUCAUUCAUAGAGUGUAAAGGCAUAAGGGAGCUUGACUGCGAGACCUACAAGUCGAGCAGGGUCGAAAGACGGACUUAGUGAUCCGGUGGUUCCGCAUGGAAGGGCCAUCGCUCAACGGAUAAAAGCUACCC